AAAAAAAAUACCAAAAGGGGGUUACUUCAAAAAUAUUUACCAAAAGGGCGUGUUUUAGUUGACUUAGAGGAGAAAGAGAGCUGGUCGCUAGUAUAGGUAGGGACCAGUAAAUAAAAAUUAAAAAAAAAAUACAAUUGAUGAACAAGUAGCUGGACGCUAUUUAAAGUAGCGUUUAGUUAUUAGACGCUACUCUAAGAGGCGUCCAAUUACUUUUUUGUCCUUAAAAAUGUAUUAAUU
rnacentral:misc_RNA from 1 species